CCCUUAGAUGUUCUGGGCUGCACACGUGCUACACUGGCAGGUUCAGCGAGCUUCAUGCCCUGAUCUGAAAGGAAUGGGAAAUCUUUUCAAAACCUGCCGUGCUUGGGAUAGAUGUUUGCAAUUAUUCAUCUUCAACGAGGAUUGCCUUGUAAGCGCACGUCAUCAGCGUGCAUUGAAUACGACCCUGUAUUCUGUACACACCGCCCGUCGCUCCUACCGAUUGAAGUUUUCGGUGAGUUUACAGGAGGAUUUUUUUGAAACUGGUUCGCCAGUGGAUUUUAGAUCCAAAUGCCAACGAAUCGAUGGCUUUAGAGGAAGGAGAAGUCGUAACA
rnacentral:rRNA from 1 species